rnacentral:lncRNA from 1 species
GAUGUUCCGCACCGCAGCAUGAAGUGAAGGUAUGUAUACUUGUUGAGCCCUAGCUAUGCAACUCUGUACGUACGUACGUAAACCAACCAAGGGCAUGUUACUGAAAUUUUCAAUCUCACUUACUUGCAGGUAUCUAAUUUCUGAGGGAAGUGCUUCCUCGUUUGAGAUUAUUUACAUCUCAUUGGACUGCUUGCUAUAUAUCAUUCCCCAAUUGCAUCCCAUGGUUGGUCCUGAAUCUUCCUGCUAUUGCCGCCUUUGGACCAACUUGGCAUCUUGUAGCAUAAGAAUCCAGCCUAGCUUCUUCACCAGGAACUUAUCCAAACACCAAAUUGAUCAUUAUUUAUGGUUUAUAUGUUUUGCUUGAAUUUUUAUAAACUUUACAAGAUUAUCAUUUCAUUAUGUGUUCAUGUGUUAAGUUUUGUGUCGGGUAAAUAAUAG